CAAUAAUACGCCUUCUGAUUGGUCUUCCGUUGCCAUAGUUUCCCAUCGGUGACAAUAACACGUCUCCUGGUUGGUUAGCUUUGGCCAACAGUUGCCGCACAAACUGCCUACUGAGCACGCGGGCAGCCCGGCUCCGGUCACUGCGCAUGCUCCCCAGCUGUGCCUGCUGCAGACUGGCGAAGCUGAGUGAAGGGUUCCGGCCGGAGGAGGUUCCGGGUGCCUCUUGUUCUGCUCCCUCGGCCGGACGUGCGUUCGGGCAGGCUUAAGGGUCGCUGGAGCUGCCUGAAACGCGCCUCUCCUGCUCACAGGCCCCUGGGCGCCGGGGAGCACACAAUUAGAGCAGUUGAGCCCUUGCAGUCUGAUGACCUUUUCCACCGCUCUACCGGAAUGAUGCUUCUUUCAGACCACAGCUGACUUCCUCCUCUGUAUAACCCUGCUGGGUACCUGUCGAAGAGUGAAAAGCAGAUUCUGUGUGUUCCUGCUGGGUGUGAUGGUGCACACCUGUAGCCCCAGCUGCUCAGGAGGCUGAGUUGGGAGGACUCGUUGAUCCCAGGAGUUCAAAGCUGCUGAGUGAGAGCCAUGAUCGCACCACUGCACACCAGCCUGGGCAAAAGAGAACGACCCUGUCUCAAGAAAAGAAAAAACCCACAGGCUUUUAAUUAUAAACAGUCGCAAAAAGAACGACCAGAUGUGAUCCACAGGAGUUAGUUGACUGGCAGUGAUAGAGGAAGAGGAAGAAAGGAGUAAAGAAGCCUUUCCGGUUUCGUGCUUGACUAAUGGGCAGAAUUUGGUUUCACCCACUAACGGUAUGGCAACAAGUGUUAUAGGGUAUGGAACUUACUUCUACAAGAUUACAUUUGAAUAUGGCUAUUUAUUUAGAGCGAGAAAUCAGAAAUUUUUCAAAGCUAACAUACCACUGUUUAAAACUCAAUGUGUUGAAAUUUUCUUUUUUGAGGUCUCAUUAGUUUUUAUUACCUAUUCAUGAAUCUGGUAGCAUCCUAUUCAUAAAAUAGAGCAAGCUCCCUGAGCUGAGCAGAGGACAUGGCCUUUGUAAGCUGAAGAGGACUAAAGAAGCAGAAACUGACCAAAAAGCAGAUGGUUCAUUUCAAAGUUACUCUCCUUACAUGGUUGAGACAGGAGACCUCUUUAUCAUGCCAACUCAGGUAAGUUGCACCCUGCCCUGGUUGCUGUAAGUCUCCUGGUUUGUUUUUGUUUGUUUGUUUUUUGAAAACUGGCCCAUUUGAAAGUUUAGUUUAAUUACAUGUCAUCUAACACUGUUAUCACAUAAUUAGACAUUGCCCAGGAUAUACAAGUAGCAACUUUCUCCAUGGGCAAAUGGCAGAGGCAUUCAGUGUGCCAAUGGGGGACAGUGUCAAAUUUCCCAGUAGUGCUCUGUAUUCACAGCUUCAGCUGUUGGCAUCAGAAAGAGAUCUCUGCCACUAUGGAGGGCAGUUUAUAUUCGGUCAGCUGCCUGCCCUUUUGGCCAAGAGAAAUGUGAUUAGGAGAACAUAAACAGUAUGGCAUAGGUGGGCUCAAAAAUAGAUGGUGCUAGGGACAUAAAUGCAUAGGUGGAAUUGUCCUUGACUAUAGGUAUAAAUAUAGAUAUAGUCCUUGAUGACAGAUAGAUAGACUGAUUGAGUCCUUGAAUACAUACACACACACACACACACACACACACACACACACACACACACACACAGUCUAGUGCUCCUAGGCUGCAAAGCUGAGCAGCAUGUUACCAUACUGAAUGCUGUAAGCAAUUGUAACACAAUUGUAAGUAUUUGUAUAUCUAAAUAGAGAAAAGAUAUAGUAGGGCUGGUGUGGUGGCUCACGCCUGUAAUCCAAGCACUUUGGAGGCCAAGGUGGGUGGAUCACCUGAGGUUGGGAGUUCAAGACCAGCCUGACCAACAUGGUCAAACCCCCUCUUUAAAAAAUAUAUACGUUUAUAUUAAAAUAAAUAAAUAAAUAAAUAAAUAAAUAAAAAGAUAUAGUAAAAAUAAAGCAUAAAAUAUUUAAAAUGGUACACCUAUAUAGAUCACUUACCUUAAUUGGAGCUUUCAGGAUGAAGUUGCUCUGGGUGAGUCAGUAAGUGCUGAGUGAAUGUGAAGGCCAAGGACAUUACUCUGCUGUAGACUUCGUACACACUGUACAUUAGAUUCCUAUUUUUUAAAUAAAGUAAUGACACUACUAUGUUACAAUGGCUAUGGUGUUUUCACUAGAUGAUAGGAUUUUUUUGGCUUCACUAUAAUCUUAUGGACCACUGUCAUAUAUGCAUCUGCAGUUGACUGAAAUGUCAACCAUAUUUGACAUUUCUAGCCCAUAAGUGUAGUGGAGAAAACAUAGGAUAAUAGUUUUUAAAUCUUUAAGAUUUUGCUUGGGAUGAUGCUAAGGUCAAUAGUCAUUACAAAGUAUUGAUUCUCAGAAGAUCUUGGAAUCUCCACAGAGCUGAAUAAACCCACUGUUUUUGUAUACAAAUUGAAGAGUGUUCAGCCGGGGCACCGUGAGAUCUCAGCAUGCUUCUGAGAACAUCCAAAGUGAAUUUAUGUGAACUCAGGCCUGGGAUGUAAUUAAAGAAAGCUGUGACGUCAUCAGUUGUGUUGUAAAUUGACCUUCCUAGUUGGUAGCAGGAGGGUGCUGAACUGAAUGUCAGACCCUUGGACGCAAAAGGAAACUUGCGUAUCUCAGUGAAUGGAAAGAUCUUGAACUAGAACACCUUCUAUCAAGUCAUGAACAACUUCUCCAAACUGGAACCAGUACUCUGCCUCUAUUUGGUCAGUUCCCAUUCAUGUUUUUAUUUUGCUAUUUGCACAGAUAAAACAAGAAGGCAUUGCUGUUAUAAAAAGUGUAAGCAAUACUAUUUUUUGAAUAUUGCAUAAAAUGUGGACGUUUCCAUCAUGUCACACCCAAUCCCACUUUCUUACCCAGAGGUUACAGCUGUGUAUUUAUGCAGUAGAUGCCUGUCAGUCCUUUGGCCUUUCCCUUCUUGAGGUCACUAAGAUGGUCAUGCAAACGGCCACCCCUUCCAACAGAGCCCAUGUGAUCUGAGGGGAAGUUGACUCCACCCACCCGCCCGUAAUGGGCCACCAUCAGUCUAGGGCUGUGUCUUACCAAAAUGUGGACCUUGAAGCCUAAAGCCUCCUCAAGACCCUUUCAGGUGGUCUGAGGAAAAAAUAUUUUCACAGUGAUACUGAGACAUCAUUUGCCUUUUACCUAUUAGAUUUGCAGUGGGGAUGCAAAAGCAGGGGUAGGUAAAUCCACUGGCACCUCGCUGGGAGUAAGGCAGUGACACAGAAAUGUACCUACUAGUGACCACCGUGUUCUUCAUCACAUGUGAUCAUGGCAAACAACGCUACACUUGAGAAUAUCCUCAAUGCAGUAACAACAACAACAAAAUCAGUUUUAUUAAAUCUUAGCUGUGGAGUAACAUCUUAAUAAUCCUUCAUGUGACUAAACGGAACUUGCACGGGGCACGUGGGAUGCAUACCCAAGUGCAAUAGCUCCCCUGCAGGAAGCGACCUCUGAGCUGCGCGCUGAGCCAGCUGCUUUCUUCACGGAGAGUCUUUUACUUGAAAGAAUAGCUAGCAGUUAAACUGGUGAGUCUGGCAGACUUUUUUUUUUUUUUUUUCCAAAAACAAAUUCACUUCAAAAGAAAACAACGGGUAAUAUUGCCAACAAUAAAAUUGGAACUUUCAAAUGAAAACUUGAGUCUUGGAAAACUUAUAUUGUUCUAUGAGCCUCAUACCUUCUCAAUUCUUGAAGACUUUUUCAUGAGAUCUGCGGCAAUGGCAACCAUUGUGGGUUUUCAAAACUGUAUGAUGAAAUGCAUUUGGAAAGUUGGCACAAUGCAGUAAACCAACAUUUUGAAUAAUGCAUGAUGUUUAAAAAUGAUGAAUGGGUAAAUGGCUCUUGUAAGCUUAAGAUAUACCAAUGGGUUUUAAUUUAAGUACAAAAAUUUCAUUGAUAUGAUCUCAAACUUUACAUGGCUGCUAACCUUUAAGCAAUUACCAGUUUCUGAGUUUUAGUAUAAUAUGAAAGAAUAGUCACUUUAUCUGAAAAGGUUAUAAAGAUACCCCUUCCAGGCUGGGCACUGCGGGUAGUUCAUGCCUACAAUCCCAGCACUGUGGGAGGCUGAGGUGGGCAGAUUGUUUGAACUCAGGAGUUUGAAACCAGCCUAGGCAAUAUGGCAAAACCCAAUGUUUCACCACAAAAAAUACAAGAAUUCGCCAUACAUGGUGGUGCAUACCUGUAUUCUCAUCUAGCUACACAGCAGGCUAAGGUGGGAAGGUCACCUGAGCCCAGGAGGCUGCAGUGAGCUUAGAUCAUGCCACUGUAUUCCAGCCUGGAGGACAGAAUGAGACCCUGCUCCCCGCCCCGCCCCACCCCACCCAAAAACCCUUCCUUUUUCUAAUUACACAUCUAUGUAAGGCUGGAUUUUCUUCAUACACUUCAGCCCAAAAUAAAAUAAAAUGCAGCAGAUUGAAUGCAGAAUCAGGUACAAGCAUUCCAGCAUCUGUUUUAUUAAACCACAUUAAAGAGACUUAAAAAAAAAAAGUAAAACAAUGCCACUCUUCCUAAAUUUUUUAUUGUGUUUGAAAAUAGUCUUUUAAGGACAAUGUUAUAAAGCACAUGUGCAUUCAGGCACAGAAGUCAUACAAAAUAUGAAAAACUCAAAUGGCCAGGUGGUUGAUGCUUUUUUUAAUUUAAUUUUUUUUCUCUUUCUUUCUUUCUUUUUUUUUUUGAGACGGAGUCUUGAGACUGUCACCCAGGCUGGAGUGCAGUGCCACAAUCUUGGCUCACUGCAACCUCCGCCUCCUGGGUUCAAGUGAUUCUCCCACCUUAGCCUCCUGAGUAGCUGGGACUGCAGGCAUGUGUGCCACCAUGCCUGGCUAAUUUUUGUAUUUUUAGUAGAGACAGGGUUUCACCAUGUUGGCCAGACUGGUCUUGAACUCCUGACCUCAAGUUAUCUGCCUGCCUUGGCCUUCCAAAGUGUUGUGAAGCUCCAGGCCAGCUGAUGCUUUUAUACCAUCUUGAGGUUACAAAAACAAUGGAGACGUGGGUCCUGGCAAAACAAGUUAUGAUGGCAAAAGAGAUUAUGGGUUAUGAGAGGGAAAGAAGAGGAGGCCUGGUACCUAAGGCAGUCUUGUUAUGCAGAUGAAGCCAAGGUAGUAGCCCUCAGGAAAAAUAGACAGUAGGUAGGCCAUGGGAAGUAUUUGUCAGACUCUAAAAGUUUAGGACUCUCAGGUUAUCUUUCCUAGAUCUGGACAAGGGGGGCUUCAAAGAAAGCCUUCUUACAUCCAUUGUUUCCUUCACUUUAUUUCCUCGUUAUACACAUCAGCCAAAAAAAAAAAAAAAGGCUAAACAUUGCAGCCGAUUGAAUGGAGAAGCAGGUAUAAGCAUCAAACCUCCUUCCCCUGCCACCAACUCAAAAGGGGAGACUAGCUUUGCAGGACAAUUCUUGUGUUUACAGGCCUCCUGAAUAGCCAUUUUGAAGUAUGUCAAAGAAGUCUAUUUUGAGGUGAAAUAUUUGGUGUCCUUUUCCUCCCAGCCUUCACAAAGAACCAACCCUGUUGACAGCUUGUUUAAAAACUUUCUGCUCCCCGCACUGAGAGACAAUAAAUGGCUUUUUCAAAGCCCCCCAGUGUGUGGCACUGUGUUAUGGCAGCUCUGGCAAACUCUGAUCAAAAUACUUCCAGCUCAGAAAAAAUCCAAACGAAGUCCUUCCCAUGGCCGGCAAGGCUGCCCCAUGAGCUGCUUCCCUGACCUCAGUACACAGCUCUGCCCAGAUCAUCUACGCUUAGGUGUGCCUUGACUGACCGUCAGGACUAAGCCAACUGCAAUGUGACCUAAAAGGAAGAAGCUGGGGCAAAAUUAACAUAAAUAGGGAGUGUAUUGGAGCCAAGUUGAGGAUUGCAACCCGGGAGCAUAGAUUCAAGUAGCCCUGAACAUACACUGCAAUUAGCAGCAAUUACAAGUGGGGUUUUAAAGGGAAAUGGGGACAGAGAGUGGGCAGAUACAAAGUGGCUUGUCAGGAAAUCUCUUUGGUUCACAUAAAUAACACUGAUUAGUGAUUGGCUCUAUAUUGCUAAGCUGUAGGUUGUGGGUUAUAGUGUCAGUUGCAGCAUUAUUAGGUCAAUUUAUAGCUACUUGUGGGGCAUUAUUAGGUCAGUAGCUUGCUCUGAGACCCUUGCCUAGCUGUGCCCUCCAAUCAUUUGCCCAAUACCAGUUAGAUCCCCUACUGACACAGUAUUUUUCUCAACACCUUUACCAGUCUUGCAGCUGGGUGCCCAUCUACUUGGCCCACUGCACUCAGCUCCUUGAGGGAGGGAGCACGUGAGUGAGUGAAUGUGGGACCCGGCCAGGUACUAGAAGUGCCAACACCUCCUUGGACCUUAGACUCUCUAUGGAAGAGAGUGUGUGUGCCAUGCUGAGUUCCUGGCACACUCCCACUGCGUGGGUACACAUGGGUGCUUUCCCAAUCCUCCUUCUUCCUGGGAGGUGCUCCUAUCACCAUGCAAUGGGUUCAUCUUGCCUGCUGCCAAGAUAAAGCUGGUUUAUUAAGAUGGGGAUGGCAGUAGAAAGAGUUUAACUCAUGCAGAGCCAGAUGAGUGGGAGACCAGAGUUCUGUUACACAAAUCAGAGACUAUGGUUUUUCACGGAUAGUUUAGGCAUUGCUCAUUGGUUGGGGAUGCAAUCACAGUGGUGUGGAAAACGGUCCCCAUGCAUGCUAUGCUGAGCCUACUUCAUGGUGAGGACACAGGACCAGUUGGUGAUCCCAGUGUGUCAGUCGUCAAAAACGUAAAUUCCUGAAAGGACAUCUCAAGAGGCCAGUAUUAGGUUCUGCAAUAGUGAUGUUAUCUGUAGGAGUAAUUGGGGAAAUUUCAAAUCUCAUGACCUCUGGAAUAAUGGUUGGUAACCAUUCACAUCUUCACCUUAGCAGAACUCAGGCUCCCCUCAUGUUUCUACCUGAUGGCAUUUUCUUAGCUCUACAAAGGAGGUUUAGUUUUGGGGAAGAGAUAUUGUCAUUUAAACUGUAAACUAAAUGUCUACCAAAGUUAGCUUGGCCCAAGCCCAGGAAUGAUUAGGAGCGGUUUGGAGGUUAAAGGCAAGAUGGGAGCUGGUUCGGUCAGAUCUCUUUGGCCAUCAUGAUUUUCUCUUGUGAAGGUGGUUUUGCUCCCUGGAAGCACUGCUCUGUGAGACAGAAUUACAGAACCAAAUUCGUACUAGGAAAUCAUCCCCUGGAGCCCCUGGUGAUUGGAUCCAAGGUAAUUAAGUCACAGACCAAGUAUCUAAGUCAUCAGAAACAAAAAAAUUACAGCCAAACAGAACUAAGCACUAGAGCACAGAAGUAAUAGAGAAUUACAGUCAUAAUUGGUACUGUGGUGUGUUAUUAGUCCAUUAUCAUGCUGCUAUAAAGAAAUAGCUGAGACUGGGAAAUUUAUUUUAAAAAGAGGUUUAAUUUCCAUGGCUGGGGAGGCCCCAGGAAACUUACAGUAAUGGUAAAAGGCUAAGCGGAAGCAGGAACCUUCUUCACAAGGCAGCAGGAGAGUGAGUGCCAGCAGGGGAAAUGCAAGAUGCUUAUAAAACCAUCAGAUCUCACGAAAACUCACUAUCAUGAGAACAGCAUAGAAGCAACCACCCCCAUGAUCCAAUCACCUCCACCUGUUUCCUCCCUCAACACCUAGGGAUUAUGAGGAUUAAAAUUCAAGAUGAGAUUUGGGUGGGGACACAGCCAAACCAUAUCAUAUGGAAACCCCAAACCACAUACAUGUUGAUGUGGAGAACAGGAAGUAAUGAAGCUGGCAGCCUCAUUUGAAGAAGAAUGUACAGUGCCUUUCAAAGCUGUGUUUACCCUUAAUGCUCCUGCACAUGCUUCCUUUAUUGGUAAUCUUUAUCCCAUUAUUGAGAUGGUGUUUCUCCUUUCAAAACACCGCUUCUUUGAUUCAACCAGUGGACCAAGGACUUACAGUGCCUUUAAGGCCUGCUACCUAAUAAGGACUUUUGCCCAGGCUAUUGCUGUGGCUGAGAAAGAUGCCGAGAAGACACUGAUGCAACUCUGGAAGGAUUAUAAUACCUGUGACUGCAUCAAGAACCUAUGCAUGGUCACCAAGGCAUGUGUGAAUGGAAUCUGGAUGAAGACACUCAAGAGGUUUAUCCAUGACUUCAAAGAGUUAGCUAGGAUAAGGAGGUUGCAAAAACCAAGGCUGUGGUUGUCAUAAACUACUCUAACCAGGUGUAAAUGAGGGUGAUGUGGAGGAGUUCCUUGAGGUGGUUCUUGAGGAAUUGAAGAAUGAGGAGCUGUUGGAACUGGAAGAGGAAUGCAUAGCUGAACAAGAGGCAAGAGAAAAGGAAACCGAGAGAAAAAAAGAACUCCCAAGAAAAUUAACAGUGAAGUGUUUGCCAGAAGCUUUUGUAGACCUCAGCUACUUAAAAAGUUUGAAAACAUAGAGCCCAACACUAAAAGGUUCUUAUUAAUAGAAAAGAAUGUAUAUGGUCCAUUAUCUGUUUGUAGGCAAAUCUGUGAUGUAAAAAAGAAACCAAGCAAACCACCACAGACGUAUUUCCGAAAACAGCAACACUUCCUAAAAAGCCUCAGGGAGGUCCUUCAGGAGAGCUCCAGAAGGAUGCAUUGUGGUCACAGGAGAGGACAGCUCCAUACCUGUUAUUUCCCCUGAAGACUUUCCAGUGGGAUAAGAUGUGGCGAUUGAAAACGUGAUAGUGAUGAUCCUGACCCUGUGUAGGCCUAGGCUGACGUGCGUGUUUGUGUGUUAGUUUUUAAUAGAACAGUUUAGAAAGUAAUCAAAAGGUUUUAAAAUGGCUUAUAGCAUAAGGAUACAAAGAAAGGAAAUAUUUUUGUACAGUUGUACAAUGUAUGUUUUAAGCUAAGUGUUAUAAGAAUGAAAACAUUUUUAAAAAUUAGUUUAUAAACAAGUUACAGCAAAGUAAGGUUAAUUUAUUGAAGAAAUAAAUUUUGCAAAGUAAAUGGAGUAUAGCCUCUAAGUGUACAGUGUUUAUCGUCUAUGACAGUGUAUGGUAAUGUCCUCGACCUUCGUGUUCACUCACCACCCACUCACUGACUCACCCAGAGCAACUUCCAGUCCUACAAGCUCCAUUCAUGGUAAGUGCCCUGUGGAGGUGUAUCGUUUUUUAUCUUUUAUGCUGUAUCUUACUACACUUUUUAUGUUUCCAUUAUACGAAUACCAUUAUAUUACAGUUGCUUACAGUAUUCAGCAGAACAACGUGGUGUAUGGGUUCGUAGCCUAGGAGUAAUAGGCUGCAGCAUCCAAGUCCGUGUGAGUGCACACUGAUGUCCACACGGUCACUGCAUUGUCCACCGAAGCAUUCCUCGGAGCACGUCUCCAUCCUUAAGCACCGCAGGACUGUACUUCACUUUGUUAUAAAGGAGCUGCACAGUGACUUAAUAUGAUGCGUGCACAACAGCAGAAUAAAUAAUGAAAUGAGGUAAGAGACCAUGAAGAGCAGGCAAGCACAGGGAGGGCAAGAUGAGGUCAGUGCCACGCAGACCCUCUGUGGUUCAGCACUUUAGGCUGAGGUCAAUGCUAAGCUUUUUGAGCCCAGCCUGGGUUUCUCUGUGGAAGGUUUUAAACCGUAGAUUUUACACACACGCACACACAUGCACACUGAUUUUGAAAAUUAAAAAUUAAAACUUUUAAUGGCUUUCAGAUAUGUACAAUUGAAAUUUCUAUUUUAUCUUGUGUCAAAUUUGAUAAGUUGUGCUUUUCAAGAAAUUUGUUCACUUCAUCUAAGUUGUCAAAUUUGUUAGCAAGAAGUUGUUUAUAAUAUUCUUUAUCUCUAUGUCCUCGUUUUUGUACCUGAUAUUGGUGGUCUUGUUUUCCCACCUUUUCCCCAUUGACCAAACAAACAAGGACUUUGUCAAUUUAUUAUUAUUAUUAUUAUUAUUAUAUUAUUAUUUUGAGACAGAGUCUCACUCUGUUGCCCAGGCUGGAGUGCAGUGGCUCAAUCUUAGCUAACUGUGACCUCUCUCUCCCAGAUUCUAGCAAUUCUCAUGCCACAAACUACCAAGUAGCUGGGAUUACAGGCAUGUGCCACCAUGCCAGGCUAAUUAAUUGUAUUAAUAUUUUCAAAGAACCAACUCUUGGCUUCGCUGAUUAUUGUUUGCCUGCUUUUAGAUUCACUGAUUUUUUACCUAAUUUUUUAUUUAUUUCCUUCUACUUUCUUUGUAUUUAAUUUGAUUUUUUGUUUAGCUUUUUGAGUUGGAAACUGACUGAGUUUUAACCUUUUUUUCUCAGCAAUGAAUUUAAAACCGUGUAUUUUCUUGUAAGUUCUCCUUUAACUGUAUCCGUUAGUCUUUUUUCUUUAACCUUAACCUUUUUUUUUUUUUAGAGACCAGGAUCUCACUCUGUUGCCCAGGCUUGAGUGCGCUGGCAUGAUCUCGGCUCACUGCAGCCAUGACUUCAUGGGCUCAAGCGAUCCUUCUGCUUGAGCCUCCUGAGUGACUGAGACUACUGGUACAUGCCACCAUGCCCGCUUAAUUCUUUUCCCCUAGAGAUGGGGUCUUGCUAUGUUUACCAGGCAACAAAAUUUGACAACUUUUGUUUUAGUAUAGCUCUCCCUCCUUUUUUUGUAUUUUUGAUUUUGUUUUAUUUUAUUAGGACAAGGUUUUCCUCUGUCAUGCUGGCUGGAGUACAGUGGUGCUAUGAUAGCUCAUUGCAGCCUUAACUCUGGGGCUCCAAGUAUACGGGACUGCAUAUGCCACCACUCCCAGCUAAACUUAAAAAUGUUCUGUAGAGGCCGGGCGUGGUGGCUCAAGCCUGUAAUCCUAGCACUUUGGGAGACCGAGGCGGGUGGAUCACGAGGUCAACAGAUUGAGACCAUCCAGGUCAACAUAGUGAAACCCCGUCUCUACUAAAAAUUACAAAAAAUUAGCUGGGCAUGGUGGCGCGUGCCUGUAAUCCCAGCUACUCAGGAGGCUGAGGCAGGAGAAUUGCCUGAACCCAGGGGGUGGAGGUUGCAGUGAGCCGAGAUCACGCCAUUGCACUCCAGCCUGGGUAACAGCAGUGAAACUCUGUCUCAAAAAAAAAAAAAAAAAUGUUCUGUAGAGAAAUGAUCUCACCAUGUUGCCCAGGGUGGUCUUUAACUCCUGACCUCAAGCAGUCCUUCUCCCUUGGCCUCCCAGAGUGCUGGGAUUACAGGUGUGAGCAACCGUGUGCGGCGCACUUGCCCUUCCUACUGAUGGUGAUUAGGUUAUAGGGCCUUUUGCCUAGGUGGAGCCUCUGAGUUUGCGACACUAAAACCUUGCCCUCUGCAUGUCAGAGGCUUUGUGUUCUCUUUUCUACAGUUUCCACUCACGCAAAAGUUACCAUAAGAGGAGCCAGGAAGGGCUGUUGGGAUGUUGAGCCUGCCUACUAUUUUAACAAUCAGGACAUCAAGGCCAAUAAGCCACAGUCUGCCUGGGUCCUGCGACUGCUAUCAGCUUCUAAUCCCCGGGUCACUGCUCACCAUUCCUUUAACUCCUUCACCAUGUCCGCAGCUGGGCUCACGUGUUUGUACAUGUGCUCAGUCCUCCAUGCUGACUCAGAUUUGACUAAAUGUUGGCUCACGUGUUUGUACAUGUGCUCAGUCCUCCAUGCUGACUGAGAUUUGACUAAAUGUUGGCUCACGUGUUUGUACAUGUGCUCAGUCCUCCAUGCUGACUCAGAUUUGACUUCAUGUUGGCUCACGUGUUUGUACAUGUGCUCAGUCCUCCAUGCUGACUCAGAUUUGACUAAAUGUUGGCUCACGUGUUUGUACAUGUGCUCAGUCCUCCAUGCUGACUCAGAUUUGACUUCGUGUUGGCUCACGUGUUUGUACAUGUGCUCAGUCCUCCAUGCUGACUCAGAUUUGACUUCAUGUUGGCUCACGUGUUUGUACAUGUGCUCAGUCCUCCAUGCUGACUCAGAUUUGACUAAAUGUUGGCUCACGUGUUUGUACAUGUGCUCAGUCCUCCAUGCUGACACAGAUUUGACUUCGUGUUGGCUCACGUGUUUGUACAUGUGCUCAGUCCUCCAUGCUGACUCAGAUUUGACUUCAUGUUGGCUCACGUGUUUGUAUAUGUUGUGCUCAGUCCUCCAUGCUGACUCAGAUUUGACUUCAUGUUGGCUCACGUGUUUGUACAUGUGCUCAGUCCUCCAUGCUGACUCAGAUUUGACUAAAUGUUGGCUCACGUGUUUGUACAUGUGCUCGGUCCUCCAUGCUGACUCAGAUUUGACUUCAUGUUGGCUCACGUGUUUGUAUAUGUUGUGCUCAGUCCUCCAUGCUGACUCAGAUUUGACUUCAUGUUGGCUCACGUGUUUGUACAUGUGCUCAGUCCUCCAUGCUGACUCAGAUUUAACUUCAUGUACUUCCACUCAUCUUAGCAGAGAAAGUGGACUUUAUUGUGAGCAUUUUGAUUUGUUUUCUUUGCAUUGUGACUUAGAUUUUAUUAUAGCACAUCCAGUAGGACAAAAGUCACACCGAAAAACUAUGGAAAGUGAAAUCAAGUCUUUGAUGGCCUUGCAAACUAGAGUGUAGAGUUGCAGGCUUGAAGACCUCUCAGUCCGUUGGCCAGGGGUGCCAGAGCGUAGAAGGCUUUGCCUCCAGCUUCGUUGUGAUUCUCUGGGGAAGUGUGUUGCAGUUGUUUCACUGCUAGCUCUCACUCCUCACCUCCACCACUCACCACCGAUUUUUCUUUCUGUGUGUGGUGGAAUGACACUUGCUGUCAUUUGCUAGGGAUGGUACAGGACCAAUCCAAUAUACCCCUUGCAUUUAGCCUGCCUUUUAAAAACAUUUAAAUUUUUUCCACUUUCUCCUUCACUCCUAUCUUUUAGUUUUAGAGUCUAAUAUUAUUUUUCAACACUACUUUUAAUAGUCGACAGUAUGGUCAUAUUCAGUGUUUGAGGACUUGCAUGCUUUAAAAUGUGUUGAAAAUCACUUUGUUUUUCAAAGGUUUUUUUUUCCUUAUAAAUCAUUUUAAAAAUUCUGAAACAAUAAGACUCUUAAGAUUUAACCAAACCGUUCCUCCCAUCUGUAAUCUUCUAAUAAGUUCUGUCAUUUAAACAAAUUCUUCUUUUCUGUUGAAAGAUAUAUAUUUUGGAAAUGUCCCCUGCCCUGAUUCCUUUCAUUUCUGUGAAGAAAACAUUGGAGACGAACCACUGGAAUGAGCCAUAGUUAUUUGCGCCUGAACAUCCAUCAUUCUUCCAGCCGACGAGGGGACCCCCGUGAUAAUUCCCCUUUGCCUCUGCCAGAAGAUGUCAACAGCAUUCCAUGUAAUGUUACUCUCUCUGUAUAGAUGACCCCAGAUAUGUGUCUCUGGGCUUGGCCUGUGCCCAUUGUAUUAUCCGGCUUCUGCCUGUCUUUCUGACGGCUUUGUUUCCUUUGGACAGACACUGAUACCUCAAAGAAGAGUUGAAAGGUACAGCUUCCAUUGUCUCUGGCUUCCGAGGCUUGUGUCAUGUAUUGUUAAGAGGGGAUAAUAAGCUUCCUUGCUUCCUUUAUUUUCCCUACUUUAUUUUCCUUAGGUUAUCAAAACCUAAGGCUCAGAUUUUUAAAUGAUUAUUUUUUCUUUUGUAAAUCCAUGCCAAUUUCUAUUGUUUCCCAAAUAGUGUAUCACUUUCAGAGGUAUCCUUUCUGCCAAGAGCCUUAUUAUUUAAUAUUACAACUGGGAAAAAUUCCUUCCAUUUAAAUCUUUCUAAACCCCGAUGUGCCUACAGAAUUUUGGCUGUUAACUGCAAGCCUUAAGUGAAAGGUGUAUCACUCCCACAACAUUAUCUCCUACUUAGAUACACUGCACAUAGUCUCUUGUCUUUUCUUUUUUUUUUUUCUGUUUUAUUUUUUUUGAUAGAGUCUCACUCUGUUGCCAAGCUGGAGUGCAGUGGCAUGAUCUCUGCUCACUGCAACCUUUCUCUCCCGGAUUCAAGAGAUUCUCCUGCCUCAGCCUCCCAAGUAGCUGGAACUACAGGCAUGCACCACCAUGCCUGGCUAAUUUUUUGUAUUUUUGUAGAGACGGGUUUUCACCAUGUCAGCCAGGCUGGUCUCAAUCUCUUGACUUUGUGAUCCACCCACUCCGGCCUCCUCAAGUGCUGGGAUUUCAUGCAUGAGCCACCACACCCAGCCUAUACACUACAUACAUUCUAUAUACAUAAAGUAUUUUUUAAAAAUCACUGCAAUACAAAAGACACGAACAGAUACUUUUCAGAAGAAGGCAUACAUACAGCCAACAAGCAUAUGAAAAAAGUUUAGUAUCACUGAUCAUUAGAAAAAUUAAAACCACAACGAGAUACCAUCUUAUGCCAGACAGAAUGGUUAGUAUUAAAAAGUCAAGAAAUACCAGAUGCCAGCAAGGUUGUGAAGGAAAAGGAAUGCAUCCUCACAGUUGGAAUGUAAAUUAGUUCAACCAUUGCAGAAAGCAGUGUAGUAAUUCCUCAAAGAGCCAAAAACAGAACUACCAUUUGACGAAGCAAUCCCAUUACUGAGUAUAUACCCAAAGGAAUAUAAAUCAUUCUACCAUAAGGACACAUGCAAACGACUGUUCAUUGCAGCACUGUUCAUAGUAGCGAGGACAUGGACUCAAACUAAAUGACCAUCAAUGGCAGAUUGCAUAAAGAAAAUGUGGGUCCAUAUACACUGUAGAAUACGAUGAAGACAAGGAAAGAAUAAGAUAAUGUCCUUUGCAGGAAGAUGGAUGGAGCUGGAAGCCAUUAUCCUUAGCAAAUUAAUGUAGGAAGAGAAAACCAAAUACCCGAUGUCCUCACUUAUAACUGGGAGCUAAAUGAUGAGAACACAUGAACACAAAAGGGGAACAACACACACUGAGGACUACUUGAGGGUGAAGGGUAGGAAGAGGGAGAGGAUCAGGAAGAAUAACCAGUGGAGAGUAGGCUUAGUGCCUGGGUGAGGAAACGAUCUGUGCAACGAGCCCCAGUGAUAUGAGAUUACCUAUAUAACAAAUCUGCACAACAAGCCCCAGUGAUGUGAGUUUACCUAUAUAACAGAUCUGCACAGCGGACCCCAGUGAUAUGAGAUUACCUAUGUAACAAAUCUGCACAACGAACCCCAGUGAUGUGAGUUUACCUAUAUAACAGAUCUGCACAGCGGACCCCAGUGAUAUGAGAUUACCUAUGUAACAAAUCUGCACAACGAACCCCAGUGAUGUGAGUUUACCUAUAUAACAGAUCUGCACAGCGGACCUCAGUGAUGAGUUUACCUAUAUAACAAAUCUGCACAGAGGACCCCAGUGAUAGGAGUUUACCUAUAUAACAAAUCUGCACAGUGAACCUCAGUGAUGAGUUUACCUAUAUAACAGAUCUGCACAGCAGACCUCAGUGAUGAGUUUACCUAUAUAACAGAUCUGCACAGCAGACCUCAGUGAUGAGUUUACCUAUAUAACUGAGUUUACCUAUAUAACAAAUCUGCACAGUGAACCUCAAUGAUGAUUUUACCUAUAUAACAGAUCUGCACAGUGAACCUCAGUGAUGAGUUUACCUAUAUAACAGAUCUGCACAGCGGACCUCAGUGAUGAGUUUACCUAUAUAACAGAUCUGCACAGUGAACCUCAGUGAUGAGUUUACCUAUAUAACAGAUCUGCACAGUGAACCUCAGUGAUGAGUUUACCUAUAUAACAAAUCUGCACAGUGAACCUCAAUGAUGAUUUUACCUAUAUAACAGAUCUGCACAGUGAACCUCAGUGAUGAGUUUACCUAUAUAACAGAUCUGCACAGCGGACCUCAGUGAUGAGUUUACCUAUAUAACAGAUCUGCACAGUGAACCUCAGUGAUGAGUUUACCUAUAUAACAGAUCUGCACAGUGAACCUCAGUGAUGAGUUUACCUAUUUAACAGAUCUGCACAGUGAACCUCAGUGAUGAGUUUACCUAUAUAACAAAUCUGCACAGUGAACCUCAGUGAUGAGUUUACCUAUAUAACAGAUCUGCACAGUGAACCUCAGUGAUGAGUUUACCUAUAUAACAGAUCUGCACAGUGAACCUCAGUGAUGAGUUUACCUAUAUAACAGAUCUGCACAGUGAACCUCAGUGAUGAGUUUACCUAUAUAACAGAUCUGCACAGCAGACCCCAGUGAUGAGUUUACCUAUAUAACAGAUCUGCACAGUGAACCUCAGUGAUGAGUUUACCUAUAUAACAGAUCUGCACAGCAGACCCCAGUGAUGAGUUUACCUAUAUAACAGAUCUGCACAGCGAACCUCAAUGAUGAGUUUACCUAUAUAACAAAUCUGCACAGUGAACCUCAGUGAUGAGUUUACCUAUAUAACAGAUCUGCACAGUGAACCUCAGUGAUGAGUUUACCUAUAUAACAGAUCUGCACAGCAGACCCCAGUGAUGAGUUUACCUAUAUAACAGAUCUGCACAGCGAACCUCAAUGAUGAGUUUACCUAUAUAACAAAUCUGCACAGUGGACCCCAGUGAUAGGAGUUUACCUAUAUAACAGAUCUGCACAGCGAACCUCAGUGUUGUGAGUUUACCUAUAUAACAAAUCUGCACAGCGGACCCCAGUGAUAGGAGUUUACCUAUAUAACAAAUCUGCACAGCGGACCCCAGUGAUAGGAGUUUACCUAUAUAACAAAUCUGCACAGUGGACCCCAGUGAUAGGAGUUUACCUAUAUAAUAAAUCUGCACAUAUGCCCUGAACGUAAAAUAAAAGUUUUUAAAAAUUUACUUCAAUAUUUUGUGUUCAUUCUUCUUUUCCUAAUAUUAAUUAAUUUAACAAUUAUUUUGACCUUCCCAUGUAUCACAUAGGAGAAGACAGAAAUGGUCCAUGGCUUCUUGGAUCUAACAGCCCAGUCAGUGAGAAUGACCAGACCUCUUUUCUAAAUUCAACCGGAAUAUUUUAGUCCAUAACUCUUCCACUGAUUACAACUAGGUUCGAGAAUGCAAAAAGCAUCUACCUGAAGACGCUGACGAGUAAACAAUGGCAGGGGAGAGAAAUAACAACUUGAAAAUUACCAUCAACAAUAGUGAGUUUCCAAGAUUUUUUUCUUUCUUCAUCUUUGCCUUCCACACAAGGGUGGCCUGCAACAUGAACUAUAGAACCUCACAGUGGACACACAGCAAAGCCUGUAAGAGAACUCUCCCUUCCUUUCAGCCAGGUGUGGUGGCUCACUCCUCUAAUCCCAGCGUUUUGGGACGACGAGGCAGGAGGAUUGCUUCAGAUAAAGAGUUUGAGAACAGCCUGGCCAACAUGGUAAAACCCUGUCUCUACAAAAUAUACAAAACUUAGCCGGAUGUGGUGGCCUGUGUCUGUCGUCCCAGCUACUCAGGAGGCUGAGGUAUGAGAAUUGCUCGAACCUGGGAGGCAAAGGUUGCAGUGGGCCGAGAUCAUGUCACUGUACUGCAGCAUGGGUGACAGGGUAAGAGUCUGUCUCAAAAAAAAAAAAAAAGAAACACUUCCUUUGUGACCACAGAAAAAUGAGUCAAGAGUGCAGGGGAUGGGAAAUCCCUGUUUACUUUUCUUCCUUUUUUCUUUUUUCUGCCUUGGUCCAGCCACAAGGCCAGCUCACCUUGCAAAGCUACCCUACUGUAGUGGUGAUGGGGGCAACUGAAACCCCAAGAGAAAACUCUCAUUAUGGUCAGAGGAACUGGGAAAAGGGGCCCCUGGGAGGCCAGCCAUGUGGGGGACAUUUCAGAGAGAAGUGCGUUGGAGAAGGACACCCCUUAAUUGUGUGUGUGAAUCUAGCCAACUCUUGAGUUCAUCUAGAGCUGGAAGUGCAGAGAACAGACACAGAGAAGCAUAAAGAAGGCUUGGAGAACUGAGAUAGGAAACACUGCCCACAAAGGAACUUGCCAUCUGAACCAAAACUGGCUGAUUCCUUACUAAAACAAGUCACAAAAAAUCAGCAUGAUCACACAGAGCCCAGAGUUGCUCUGCAUAAUAACCAACAUAUCCAAGAUAGAAUGCAGAAUAACUUGAUAUACAAAUCACCAGGAAUAUAUUCCCAUUUCCCAAGGGAAAAGACAAUCCACAAAUGCCAACCACGAGAGGACCUGGAUAUUAAAAUUAGCACACAAAGUCUUCAAACAGCGAUUAUAACUAUACUUCAAAUAAAUGAAAAAAUGGAAAUGAGUUUUCAGUAGGAAAAUCCAAACUAUAAAGGACAAAAUGAAUAUUUUUAGGGCUGAAAAACAAAAUAUAGCACAAGAAGAUAAAAAAUUCACUGGAUGGGCUUAAUCGUAGAAUGGAGAUGUCCAAGAAACAGUGGAAAAUUAUCAAUAGAUAUUAUCCAGUCUGAAGUAGAGAAAGAACAAAGAUUUAAAACAAAAUGAACAGAGCUCCAGGGACCUAGAGGAUAUUAUCGAAGGGUUUCACCUUUAUGUCCUUGGAGUCCCAGAGGAGAAGAGAGAGAUAGGUGUGGAAAAACGAUUUGAAACAUAACGGCAUGCUUAAAACUUAACCAAAUUUGGGGGAAAACGUAAACUUUCAUAAACCUCAAUCAGGAUACACAUGAAAAAUAUUGUGCCAGGACACAAUAAUCUAACUGCAAGAAGAAGAGAAGAAGAGGGAUGGGGGACCAGUUAGGUGAAAACAGAUACAUAGAGGGGAAGAUGAAUUUGAAGAUUUCUCUUUGGAACCAUGGAGGCCAGAAGACAGUGGAAUAUCUUUAAGUGCUGAAAGAAAAAAACCAAGCCGCCAAACACCAUUCUUCCAACAAUACUCUGUCAUCCCAGAAUUCUAUGUGCAUCAAAAAUGUCCUUCAGAAAUGAAGACAAAAUACAUUUUUGAAUGAAAGCCAAUAAACAAGGUCAGCAAAGUUUCAGGAUGUGAAAUCAACAAACAGAAAAUCAGUUGCAUUUCUACACAUUAACAAUAACCAUCUAAAAGGGAAAUUUAAAAACUUUCAUUUACGAUUCAAAGACUAAAAUCCUUAGGAAUGUAUUCAAUCUAGGAGGCAAAAGGCUUGUGCACGAAAAACCCCCAAAAUAUUGAAAUCGUAAAUGAAACAUUACCCCACGUGCAUGUACUGAAAGACAUAAUAUUGCUAAAACGGGAAUACUACCUAAAGGGAUUUACAGAUUCAGUGAAGUCCCUCUCAUUGUACAAUUUCUUUUUUUAAGAAGUAUUUUUGCUCUGUCUCCCAGGCUGGAGUGCAGUGGCAUGAUCUUGGCUCCCUGGAACCUUGGCCUCCCGGGUUCAAGUGAUUCUCCCACCUCAGCCUCCUGAGUAACUUGGGUAACAGUCACACACCACCAUGCCUGACUAAUUUUUGUAUUUUUGUAGAGAUGGACUUUCGCCAUGUUGGCCAGACUGGUCUUGAAAUCCUGACCUGCAGUGAUCUUCCCACUUUGGCCUCCCGAAGUGCUGGGAUCACAGAAGUGAGCCGCUGCACCCAGCCAGUAUUUUUUAUGGAAACAGAAAGGCACAUCCUAUAGUUCAUAGAAAAUCUCUCUCUCUCCUCUCUCCUCUCUCUCUCUUUGUUGCCCAGGUUGGACUUGAACUCCUUGGCUCAAGUAAUCCUCUCACCUCAGCCUACUGAAUAGCUGGGAUUACAGGUGUGCACUACUGCACCUGACUGUUAUAUGGAAUAUUAAGGGACUCUGAAUAGCUAAAAUAGUCUUGAAAAAGAAGAAUAACGUUGGAGGACUCACAGUUCCUGAUUUCAAAACUUACUGCAAAGCCAUGGUAAUUCAACAGUGUGGUCUUGGCUUAAAAACAGGCAGAGAAGCCAAUGGUAUAGAUAAGAGAGCCAAGAAAUAAGCCACUGCAUAUAUCAUCGGUAGGUCCAAAAAUCCCUCUCCAGGGAAAGGGUGGUCUUAUUAAUGAUGCUGAAAAAACUGGAUAUCCACAUACAAAAGAAUGAAGUUGGACCCUUCCCUUACACCACAUACAAAAAUUGACUCAAAAUGAGUCAAAGACUUAAAUGUAAAAGCUAAAGCCAUAAAACUCAUAGAAGAAAACAUAGGGGAAAAUCUUCAUGACAUUGAAUUUGCCAAUUUCUUGGAAAUGACACCAAAAGCACUGGCAAUAACAGCAAACAAAAUAGGCAAAUUGGACUUUACCUAUAUUUAAACUAUGUACAGCAGUGCAGGGUGGGAAAUUUAAAAAAUUAAAAUUACAAAUGUUUUAAUUCUUCCCUUCAAGUCUGUAUGCUUGAGUCUUCCCAUGCCAGGCAGCAGACAUGUAAGGGGUGAGCCUGUAAACGAUCCCAACACUAGCCCGCACGUCAACCCCGGGGAGCCAGCCCCGAGAGCCCUGCCUGAUUUGCAAGUUCAUGAGUAAAAUAAAUGUAACCUGGCCGGGCGCAGUGGCUCACGCCUAUAAUCCCAGCACUUUGGGAGGCCAAGGCGGGUGGAUCAUGAGGUCAAGAGAUCGAGACCAUCCUGGUCAACAUGGUGAAACCCCAUCUCUACUAAAAAUACAAAAAAUUAGCUGGGCACGGUCGCACACACCUGUAGUCCCAGCUACUCAGGAGACUGAGGCAGGAGAAUUGCUUGAACCCUGGAGGCGGAGGUUGCAGUGAGCCGAGAUCGCGCCAUUGCACUCCAGUCUGGGUAACAAGAGCAAAACUCCGUCUCAAAAAAAAAAAAAAAAAAAGAAAGAAAGAAAAACAAUGUAACCUAAAACUGCUCAAAAAUAGCCUUUUUUUUUUUUUUUUUUUUUUAGAAAACACGAGUAUUAAAAAAAUCAUUUAUAAUCCUUCCAUUGUCCCUUUUCGUUAAAAUAUCAAACAGAAACAUGAGUUUCACUGAUAUGACCUGUUUUCGUGGCUGUUUUCUCUUUGCUUAAUUUCCCUGCCAUGGGAAAGACUGGCUAAUUCUCCUUUCUUCCCAGUCAGAAAUAACUACCAGCAGAGGCUGCUAGAAGGCAGGCAUUAGGAAUCUCUCUGCCGUGGAGAGAUGGGCGGUCCUGCACAGCGCCGGCUUCGCUCUGACGGCUACAGGCACGUCCCUCGGGACAGCACUCGCUCCGUGGCAGAGAUUUCGCAAAGAACUGAGGAUCUUUGUGUCUAUUCUACAGGGCGUCUAUUGAACAUUCCCUAAGAAAGAAGACAGUCUGGACACCUGACAACAGGCGGCAGUCUGUCAACUAUUGUGGCAUCCAGCUGGUCAGAAAGACUCAAAAAUUGGACAUUUUGUGGCUGCUCUCUAGAACCAAAGAAAUGAGAACCUCUUGGUGAAACCCGCUAGACCAGGAGUUAAAACAAAUUAUCUGCCAAAAUUACGAUGUAAAACUGAAGAAAACAACAGAUAACCUGAUUGACAUUUUGGAAAACUACAGAGAAACUGUGACUGGGGAGAAAUGGUUAGGGAAAUUUUCUUAUUGAAAUAGCAGAUUGGGAGGCCUCGUGCUAUUAACCAAAAUCUCUGUUAAAUUCUAAUCAUUGGCCAGGCGCGGUAGCUCAUGCCUGUAAUCCCAACACUCUGGGAGGCAGAGGCAGGCGGAUUGCCUGAGCUCAGGGAGUUCGAGACCAGCCUGGGCAACAUGAUGAAACCCCUUCUCUACUAAAAAUACAAAAAUUAGCCGGGUAUGGCAGUGUGUGCCUGUGGUCCCAGCUACUUGGGAGGCUGAGGCAGGAGAAUCACUUGAACCUGGGAGGCAGAGGUUGCAGUGAUUCGAGAUUGCACCAUUGCACUCCAGCCUGAGGAACAGAGCAAGAUUCUGUCUCAAAAUAAAUCCAAUCAUAAAAUAUCUUUUCUCAAUGUUAAAAGAUCUAAGCAGUCUCCACUAACACCCCCCAUCCUGGACACGGGAGCACUGCCCUGGCUGGCCGUCGGGUGCUCCCACCAGCAUUGUUCAGGAAGUGGGGCGGGGGUGGGGGGGACAGUUGAGGAUUGCCAGGCAGGAGAUGGGGUGGUGGAGAGAAGGAUGUAACAGUCUAA